CCGCCCACUCGCUUUGGCUCCUCCCGCUGGGUCGUGUCCACCUACCCCGCUCCUGUCCCUCAACUGGAAGUAAACCAAAUGCAGGAAUUGACCCAAAGAAAACAAAAUUCCUGGUCCAAGAAGAUAUAUGCACCCCUAUGUUUAUUGCCACAUUAUUUAUAAUAGCCAAGAUAUGGAAGGAACCUAAGAUGAACCUAGAUGAAUGGAUGAAGAUGUGGUACAUACACACAAUGGAAUAUUAUUCAACCAUAAAAAGAAAAGAAAUCCUGCCAUUUGCAACAACAUGGAUGAAGCUAGAGGUUAUUAUGCUCAGUGAAAUAAGUCAGACACAGAACGACAAAUAUGAUUUCACUUCUUUGUGGAAUAUAAAUACAAAGCAAAACAGAAUGAACAAAACAGCAGUAGACUCAGACACUGAAAAGGUGGGAUUAAGGAGCAACUGCAACUUUACUGGACAGGAUUAAAGAGCCUCUGUGUUUUUCAUUCUCCUGGUUUCCCAAGUAGGAUAAAGAUGUUCAUUUAUCAAACAUCCCUUCUUGAAUUAAUUUAACUACAUACUGAGUAUCUGCUUUGUGCCAUACUCUGUGAUAGACAGUAGGGAAACAGUAGUGAAGAAGCUGGCUUAGUCCCUACCAUCUUGGAACAGUCUACCUAAUGGGAGAGCCAGGAAAGUAAACAGAUGAUCAUAAUAGAUUGUGAUUAGUACUGACAUAAAGACAAUAUGGGGCAAUAUGAGAACCCAUAGGUGAUGUACCUAAUAUCUUCUACUCAGGGAAGGCUUCCUGCUGGCAGUGAUGUCUGAGAUGAAAUCUGAAGGGUGAGUGGAAGUUAGAACUAGUG